AAUAUUGGACAAUGGGGGCAACCCUGAUCCAGCAAUACCACGUGUGUGAAGAAGGCCUUAGGGUUGUAAAGCACUUUAGUUAGGGAAGAAGUUAGCUAGGUUAAGAGCUAGGUUAAUUGACAUUACCUAAAGAAUAAGCACCGGCUAACUCCGUGCCAGCAGCCGCGGUAAUACGGAGGGUGCGAGCGUUAAUCGGAAUUACUGGGCGUAAAGGGUUCGUAGGUGGUUAGAUAAGUCAGAUGUGAAAGACCUGGGCUCAACCUGGGAGGUGCAUAUGAUACUGUUUGACUAGAGUUUACUAGAGGAUUGGGGAAUUUCCGGUGUAGCGGUGAAAUGCGUAGAGAUCGGAAGGAACAUCAAUGGCGAAGGCAACAAUCUGGGGUUAAACUGACACUGAGGGACGAAAGCGUGGGUAGCAAACAGGAUUAGAUACCCUGGUAGUCCACGCUGUA
rnacentral:rRNA from 1 species